ensembl:lncRNA
AUGUCCCUGCCUGUGCUGGUGUUGGUGGUGCGUGGGUGUUGGUGUUGGUGUUGCUUUUGGUGUUUGUUUUUGUGUUGGUGUUGCUGUUUGUGGUGUGUUCCUGUUGGUGUAGCUGUUGAUUUUUGUGUUGUUGGUGUUGCUGUUGCUGUUGAUUUUUGUGUUGGUGUUGUGUUGCUGUUGGUAUUGGUGUUUGUCUUGCUUUUGGUGUUUUUGUGUUGGUGUCGGUGUUGCUGUUUCUGUUGUGUCAGUGUUUGUGUUGGUGUUGUAUUGCUGUUGGUGUUGUGUUGCUGUUGUUGUUUGUGUUGGUGUUUGUACUGGUGUUUGUAUUGGUGUUUUUGUGUUGCUGUUGUGUUGGUGUUGUAUUGCUGUUGUUGUUUGUGUUGGUGUUUGUCUUGCUGUUUUUGUUUUUGUGUUGCUGUUGCUGUUUAUUUUUCCUGUUGCUGUUUUUGUGUUGCUGUUGUUUUAUUUUUGCUGGUUUUGUGUUGGUGUUGCUGUUGCCGCUUGUUUUAUUUUUGCUGUUACUGUUUUUGUUUUUGUGUUGCUGUUGCCGCUUGUUUUAUUUUUGUUGUUGCCGUUUUUGUUUUUGUGUUGCUGUUGCCGCUUGUUUUAUUUUUACUGUUGCCGUUUUUGUUUUUGUGUUGCUGUUGCCGCUUGUUUUAUUUUUACUGUUGCCGUUUUUGUUUUUGUGUUGCUGUUGCCGCUUGUUUUAUUUUUACUGUUGCCGUUUUUGUUUUUGUGUUGCUGUUGCCGCUUGUUUUAUUUUUGUUGUUGCCGUUUUUGUUUUUGUGUUGCUGUUGCCGCUUGUUUUAUUUUUGUUGUUGCCGUUUUUGUUUUUGUGUUGCUGUUGCCGCUUGUUUUAUUUUUGUUGUUGCCGUUUUUGUUUUUGUGUUGCUGUUGCCGCUUGUUUUAUUUUUGUUGUUGCCGUUUUUGUUUUUGUGUUGCUGUUGCCGCUUGUUUUAUUUUUGUUGUUGCCGUUUUUGUUUUUGUGUUGCUGUUGCCGCUUGUUUUAUUUUUGUUGUUGCCGUUUUUGUUUUUGUGUUGCUGUUGCCGCUUGUUUUAUUUUUGUUGUUGCCGUUUUUGUUUUUGUGUUGCUGUUGCCGCUUGUUUUAUUUUUGUUGUUGCCGUUUUUGUUUUUGUGUUGCUGUUGCCGCUUGUUUUAUUUUUGUUGUUGCCGUUUUUGUUUUUGUGUUGCUGUUGCCGCUUGUUUUAUUUUUGUUGUUGCCGUUUUUGUUUUUGUGUUGCUGUUGCCGCUUGUUUUAUUUUUGUUGUUGCCGUUUUUGUUUUUGUGUUGCUGUUGCCGCUUGUUUUAUUUUUGUUGUUGCCGUUUUUGUUUUUGUGUUGCUGUUGCCGCUUGUUUUAUUUUUGUUGUUGCCGUUUUUGUUUUUGUGUUGCUGUUGCCGUUGUUUUAUUUUUGUUGUUGCCGUUUUUGUUUUUGUGUCGCUGUUGCCGUUGUUUUAUUUUUGCUGUUGCAGUUUUCCUUUUCCCACCUUCCCUCCCAGCAGACCGGAGAUGAGUUUUACCCUCUUCCCCCCCCAACACAAAUCACAAAUCACCACGGGACCAGCUGCCCCCCCACAGGGACACUGUCCCCGCUGUCACCCUCGGGGUCCCUCCAGGUGUCCCCUGUCAUCACCCAGCGCUGACCUUUCCUCCCGGCCCAGCCGGGUGUGUCACCGGGCUGUUCCCGGGAAUUCUCCCAAAAACCCGUCAACUCCCCAAACCUGGGAAUCCCCGGAGCCGCAGGGGACGAGCAGGGACGCGCUGUUCCAGUUGGUGUUUGUGCUGCAGGCUGUUCCCGGGAAUUCUCCCAAAAACCCGUCAACUCCCCAAACCUGGGAAUCCCCGGAGCCGCAGGGGACGAGCAGGGACGCGCUGUUCCAGUUGCUGUUUGUGCUGCAGCUCGGCAGGAACGCGCUGGGCGCUGCCGCAGCUCCUGUUCCUGCUGCCGGUGCCAAGAAUUCGCUUCCCGACAAGGAAUUCCUUGGGGCCGCGGGGAGGAUUCCGACUGGUGUUGGUGGUGCGUGGGUGUUGGUGUUGGUGUUGCUUUUGGUGUUUGUUUUUGUGUUGGUGUUGCUGUUUGUGGUGUGUUCCUGUUGGUGUAGCUGUUGA